AACCCCUAUCCAUUUGACAUCUAAAUGUCAUAGCGACUUUUGGGAUAGUUUGCUAUCGGCAAAGGGGGACAGAGUCAGGGGGUAAAGGGGAAGGAGGGCCCGGGAGAGCCUCCGGGACCCUCGGCAGCCCUCCUCUCCCCCUCCCCCUCCCCCCAGGUCCUGUGAGAAGUUGGGCCCAGCUGGAAGGGAUUGACUCUGGCCACCUCCUCGGCCUCGCCAGCCUCUGCGAAGAUUCCAGGCCCUACAGAGACCAGGACGACCCUGAGCGCCGCCGCCCCUCGUGCCAAUGCUGCCAGAAAACUGCCGAUACCCACACUGGGCAAGAGAACUGCACAGGGGCGAUCGGAGGAGGCCAGGGCCAGGGAGGGACUGGGAGGGGGAGGGGGCACGGACCCACCGAGGCUGGAUCGAGUGGCUGCUUCCCGCCGGGGCUGCCGGAGCCCUGGCACCCCAUCCUCUCCUUUGCAGCCCCCGCUCGCUCGGGCUCUUCUGCCCAUGCCUUUUUAAAGGCACUUAGCGAUGGCCUCCAUGGCCCCUUUCAGUUCCUCCUCCCAUCUCCCUCGCCUGGACUCCCUCUCCAGAAAACAACCACCCCUCUCUCCAACACCGAAUUUCUUGGGAAGCCUCUUCCCCCAGCGCCCAAAGGUGGGGUUCAACCCCAGACUGGGAGUUGGGGGAGGAGGGAGAAAAGCCCAAGCCCCACCCCCCUACAAAAGCAGUGCGAAGGAAUAAGAAGAGAAUUGUAGAAUCUCCCUUACCUUUGCAGACCUUGGGGGUUUUCUUGCUCCAGAUCAUCGAAAAGGGUGGGGAGGGAGGGCGGGGGAAGAGCGUUUGGUUUCUUCUUUCGGCUUCCAGAUAAUAUUGUCCCAACCUGAGAGCCGUCACUUCCCUUCUCUGACUUGGGAGAGAGGGUGUUUCGCUUUUCUGACAUUUGCAUAGAAAAUAGAGUAAGUUCUGGCUUUGAAAAAUGGUAUCAGGCUGCAGUCCUGGGCAGAUUGUCCAUUUACCCUUCAUGAUGACUGAAAUCCCAGAUCAGCAGGCAAAUUAACUUAGGAAUCAAAAUUAUUUUUGGUUCUCUCUUUUGUAUAAUUCCCACCCCUCCUUCCCUCUCCCUCUCUCUCUCUUCUCUCCUCUGCCCCCUCUCUUCCUCUCUCUCUCUCUCUCUCUCUCUCUCUCUUUUGCUCUAUGAGCCGAUAUUGAAGUAUAAAAAUAUCAAGAGGCUGGAGCCCUGAAGGACGACAGUGCUCCGACCUAGGUGUGGUGUCCAAAAGAAUGCUGCAUUAUAACCACCAGGGAAAUGAUAAAAAGUUCAUGUUCACGAUCGCCCGGCCACAUGACCGGCGCCGGCCAAUCGCUGGAUUCAACCACUCAUAAACUUCUAUCACAAAGUUGUAAAUUUUCAUAAAACAACAAGGAAUUUAUUGCAUUUCUUCCUGGCUGCUCCACCAGCAACCCUUUUCUCAGUCGCCAUCUUCUUUUCUUUUCCUUCUGUCUUUUUUGGGGAAACCCCAGGCUGAGAAGGGGUGAGAUUUGGGGUGCAGAGUUUCAGGGCAGAGCAGCCACAAGGGUCCAGCUAGGAAGAGGAUUCUCUUAGAAAUCUCCCUGCUUCCUCAGGAGCUCUGCGCCUCUUUUCUAGUAAAAAUUCACCCCAAAUCUGCACGGGACAAAUUUGAAGGCUCCAGGUUGUCGGCCACCCCGAGAGCAGGCAGAAAGGCUCACCGGAAGUCGCCGGAGGCUGGCGGCACAGCCAGCUCACAGCAACAGGGGACAGGGCCACACCAGCCCGGUAAACUCGCACUGCUCUGGCUCCCGGGACCCAUUUUAUUCCCUAUUUUUAAGUUGUAAGUGGAUCGCCUGGGUCAAUUCAGCCUGAGAGAAAUUCAAACACUGGAAAGCAACAUCCAUGGAAAUAAAACAAAGGAAUAGAUU